rnacentral:lncRNA from 1 species
AAAAAAAAAAAAUUAGCUGGGUGUGGUGGUCCAUGCCUGUAAUCUUGCAGAAGACUUGUAUGUAGGGAUAUCAAGAGGAUUAACUGAGAUGAUUCAUGUCUCUACAAAAAAAUUUAAGCUGUUGAGUGUUAAAGUUGAAGUAAUUUAUUGAUCACAUAGGGGUAAAGAAACUGAUUAAAUUUGCACAUAGCCUUUUUCUUUGUAAGUACAGAGAAACCAAAAGAUUGAUCUUUUUUUGUAAUCAAUCAUAUUGAACUGUUUUUCCAUAACCUACAACUUGGAUGCCUUGCUUCAUCAAGCAUUAUAUUAGGGACACACACAUGAAUGUAUUCACGGGUUUAUAGUCUACAAACAUAACAUGUAUGGUUCUGGCUAGAAGAGGAAAUAACUGUGUGUUGUUAAUGCUACAGAAGCUCCCAUCCCACUCACAUUUUCAGAUUCUUUAGUGUUAAAUUUUACCAUGGGGAGCUAUUUACUUGUGACAUUUUUAGAAGGCCUUAAGGUGGGAUAAUUAACAACGAUAUCAAGGAUUACAGGACAGUCUAAUAUGGUUGAUGUAUUUAGUGUUUACCUCAAGCUGUGACAGUUUUUAUUAAAAUUAAAUUUCUGUAUUAUAAGUUUAAUUCAAAAGGCAGUUAUACGUUAUCUAUGUAACAGAAUUUGCCAAAUAGCAACUAAGUUGCUGUUAAUUGUUUUAUGGGACGAAAGCAGCCAGUCUUGGCCCUUCUGUC